GGUUUGGUGUCUUAAGUUUAUGGUCUGCCUUCUUGGGGUCUGAAAUGGGAAAACAAAAACUGAGAGGAGGAUUUGGUGCCUUAAGUUUGCUGUCUGCCUUCUUGGGGUCUGAAAAGGAAAACAAAAAGCUGUGAGCAGGAGGGUUUGGUGUUUAAUGUCUGCCUUCUUGGGGUUUGCAAAGGAAAAAC